ACGGGGUGCAGCAGGCGCGAAAACUUUGCAAUGUGCGAAAGCACGACAAGGUUAAUCCGAGUGUUUCCUGCUAAAGGAAUCUUUUGUCAGUCAUAACACCACUGAUGAAUAAGGGGUGGGCAAGUUCUGGUGUCAGCCGCCGCGGUAAAACCAGCACCUCAAGUGGUCAGGAGGGUUAUUGGGCCUAAAGCAUCCGUAGCCUGCUUUGUAAGUUUUCGGUUAAAUCCAUAUGCUCAACAUAUGGGCUGCCGGGAAUACUGCACAGCUAGGGAGUGGGAGAGGUAGACGGUACUCCAUAGGAAGGGGUAAAAUCCUUUGAUCUAUGGAAGACCACCUGUGGCGAAGGCGGUCUACCAGAACACGUUCGACGGUGAGGGAUGAAAGCUGGGGGAGCAAACCGGAUUAGAUACCCGGGUAGUCCCAGCUGUAAACUAUGCAAACUCGGUGAUGCAUUGGCUUGUGGCCAGUGCAGUGCCGCAGGAAGCCGUUAAGUUUGCCGCCUGGAAGUACGUACGCAAGU
rnacentral:rRNA from 1 species